rnacentral:rRNA from 1 species
AUCCUGGCUCAGAUUAAACGCUGGCGGCAUGCCUUACACAUGCAAGUCGAACGGCAGCACGGGUGGUAACACUCUGGUGGCGAGUGGCGGACGGGUGAGUAAAGCAUCGGAACGUGCCCUGGAAUGGGGAUAACGUAGCGAAAGUUACGCUAAUACCGCAUAUUCUGUGAGCAGGAAAGCAGGGGAUCGCAAGACCUUGCGUUCGAGGAGCGGCCGAUGUCGGAUUAGCUAGUUGGUGGGGUAAAGGCCUACCAAGGCGACGAUCCGUAGCGGGUCUGAGAGGAUGAUCCGCCACACUGGGACUGAGACACGGCCCAGACUCCUACGGGAGGCAGCAGUGGGGAAUUUUGGACAAUGGGCGCAAGCCUGAUCCAGCCAUGCCGCGUGAGUGAAGAAGGCCUUCGGGUUGUAAAGCUCUUUCGGUGGGGAAGAAAUUGCACGGGAUAAUACCCUGUGUAGAUGACGGUACCUGGAGAAGAAGCACCGGCUAACUACGUG